ACGAACGCUGGCGGCGUAGGAUUAGGCAUGCAAGUCGAACGCGAACGGGAUUUGAACAUUCCUUCGGGAAUGGGAUGCUCCCUAGUAGAGUGGCGAACGGGUGAGUAACGCGUGGGUAACCUGCCCUUGAGAAUGGGGAUAACUNACUCCCAACGGGGUGCUAAUACCGAAUAAUAUCAUCUUAUCAUACGCUUAGAUGAUCAAAGGUGGCCUCUACUUGUAAGCUACCGCUUAAGGAUGGGCCCGCGUCCCAUUAGCUUGUUGGUGAGGUAACGGCUCACCAAGGCUGUGAAUGGGUAGCUGGUCUGAGCAGGAUGGUCAGCCACACUGGGAUUGAGAUACGGCCC
rnacentral:rRNA from 1 species